rnacentral:rRNA from 1 species
GUACACUCCUACGGGAGGCAGCAGUGGGGAAUUUUGGACAAUGGGCGAAAGCCUGAUCCAGCAAUGCCGCGUGUGUGAAGAAGGCCUUCGGGUUGUAAAGCACUUUUGUCCGGAAAGAAAUCCUUGGCUCUAAUACAGUCGAGGGAUGACGGUACCGGAAGAAUAAGCACCGGCUAACUACGUGCCAGCAGCCGCGGUAAUACGUAGGGUGCGAGCGUUAAUCGGAAUUACUGGGCGUAAAGCGUGCGCAGGCGGUUUGCUAAGACCGAUGUGAAAUCCCCGGGCUCAACCUGGGAACUGCAUUGGUGACUGGCAGGCUAGAGUAUGGCAGAGGGGGGUAGAAUUCCACGUGUAGCAGUGAAAUGCGUAGAGAUGUGGAGGAAUACCGAUGGCGAAGGCAGCCCCCUGGGCCAAUACUGACGCUCAUGCACGAAAGCGUGGGGAGCAAACAGGAUUAGAAACCCUGGUAGUCCCA